UACGAAGGGGGCUAGCGUUGCUCGGAAUCACUGGGCGUAAAGCGCACGUAGGCGGCUUACUAAGUCAGGGGUGAAAUCCUGGAGCUCAACUCCAGAACUGCCUUUGAUACUGGUGAGCUUGAGUCCGGAAGAGGUGAGUGGAACUGCGAGUGUAGAGGUGAAAUUCGUAGAUAUUCGCAAGAACACCAGUGGCGAAGGCGGCUCACUGGUCCGGUACUGGACGCUGAGGUGCGAAAGCGUGGGGAGCAAACA
rnacentral:rRNA from 1 species